GACAGAGGCCUCAAGCGUUUAGGCGGAAUCACUGGGCUUAAAGCGUGUGUAGGCGGAUCGUUAAGUGUCUUGUGAAAUCCCACGGCUCACCCGUGGAACUGCUGGGCAUACUGGCGAUCUUGGGCCAACUAGGGGCAACUGGAACAAGCGGUGGAGCGGUGAAAUGCGUAGAUAUCGGCUUGGAACGCCAACGGUGAAAACAGGUUGCUGGGGUUGUGCCGACG
rnacentral:rRNA from 1 species